AAUAAAUUGAGUUUGAUGAUGGCUCUGAAUGAACGCUAUCCAAAUGCUUGACACAUGCUAAUCAAACGUCUAAUUUAAUUAAUAUAUAGUUAUUAUAUAUUAAUUAAUUAUGAAGUGGUGUACAGGUGAGUAAAUUAUCUUAUAACUACCUUAAAGUAAGGAAGAAAAAAAAUCCCUUAUAAAAAAAAGAUAGAUAAAAAUUCGCUUUAAGAUGUUAAUAGAUAUUCUGGAUGAGUAAUAGAAAAAAUCUAGCUCAAAAUCUGGUAGUCGAGACUGAGAGGUCGAUCGACCACACUGGGUCUGAAAAAAGCCCAGGGCAGAAUUGUACAGCAGUGGGGAAUAUUGGUCAAUAGUCGAAAGACUGAACCAGCAACUUGGAAGAAUGGAAAAUGAAAGUCGUAUAAAGUUCUAGAUAAAAUAAAGAGAAUGACGAUUUUUUAUCUAUAAGUCUUGACCAAAUUACGUGCCAGCAGUCGCGGUAAUACGUAAAAGACAAGUGUUAUUCAUCUUUAAUUGGUAUAAAGGGUACCUAGACAGAUUACCAAGCCUUAAUAGGAACUAGUUUUCUAGAGUUUUAUGUGGGAAUAUACGAAUUACCAGAGGAGGGACAAAAUCCUAUUAUACUGGUAGGACGGGUAACGGCGAAGGCUUUAUUCUAAGUAAAAACUGACGUUGAGGGACGAAGCCUUGGGUAGCGAUAAGGAUUCGAUACCCUAGUAGUCCUUGGAGAAAAUGAUGAGUGCCAUAGGCUAGAUAAAUUUGGCCUAUAAAUGAAAGUGUAAGCACUCCACCUCAUGACUAAGGCGGAAAUGCACAAAUUGAAAUCAUUAGACCGUUUCUGAAACCAGUAGUGAAGUAUGUUAUUUAAUUCGAUGAUCCGCGAAAAACCUUACCACGCCUUGAAUAUUUUUAUACAAGUGCUGCACGGCUGUCUUCAGUUAAUGUCGUGAGAUUUUGGUUAAUUCCUUUAAUUAACGAAAACCCUAGCUUUAUUUAUAUUUAGAGUGUUUUUCUAUAAAUGGAAAUAAUAACAGGGACCAAGACAAGUCAUCAUGGCCUUAAUAGCGUGGGCUAUAGACGUGCCACAUAUACCUCUACAAAGGGAUGCAAUAUUGUAAAAUGGAGCUAAUCCCAUAAAAUUGGAUAUAACUAUUUGUGGAUUGUAGUCUGAAAUUCGACUACAUGAAUAAGGAAUUACUAGUAAUCGUGAAUCACCACGUCACGGUGAAUUUUAUCUCAGAUGGGUACUAACCACUCGUCAGGCGCUGAAAGAAGUAUGCGCAAUAAGUUUGGUUACUUAUUUAUUUUAUUUUUACUUUAAUAGUUGUAAAUUUUUAAAUUUGUAAUUUUCGUAUGCGUGACUUUUAUUGGUGUUAAGUCGAAAUAUGGUUCGUGUAAUGGAAAUUGCACGGGAUGCAUUAACAUU
rfam:Fonsecaea erecta strain CBS 125763 Scaff27, whole genome shotgun sequence.